rnacentral:rRNA from 1 species
GACGAACGCUGGCGGCGUGCUUAACACAUGCAAGUCGAACGGAAAGGCCCUGCUUUUGUGGGGUGCUCGAGUGGCGAACGGGUGAGUAACACGUGAGUAACCUGCCCUUGACUUUGGGAUAACUUCAGGAAACUGGGGCUAAUACCGGAUAGGAGCUCCUGCUGCAUGGUGGGGGUUGGAAAGUUUCGGCGGUUGGGGAUGGACUCGCGGCUUAUCAGCUUGUUGGUGGGGUAGUGGCUUACCAAGGCUUUGACGGGUAGCCGGCCUGAGAGGGUGACCGGCCACAUUGGGACUGAGAUACGGCCCAGACUCCUACGGGAGGCAGAAGUGGGGAAUAUUGCACAAUGGGCGGAAGCCUGAUGCAGCAACGCCACGUGCGGGAUGACGGCCUUCGGGUUGUAAACCGCUUUCGCCUGUGACGAAGCGUGAGUGACGGUAAUGGGUAAAGAAGCACCGGCUAACUACGUG